rnacentral:rRNA from 1 species
CAAUAGCGUAUAUUUAAGUUGUUGCAGUUAAAAAGCUCGUAGUUGGAUUUCGGAUGGGACUUGCCGGUCCGUCGUUUCGAUGUGCACUGGCCAGUCCUAUCUUGUUGUCGGGGACUAGCUCCUGGGCUUCACUGUCCGGGACUAGGAGCUGACGAGGUUACUUUGAGUAAAUUAGAGUGUUCAAAGCAAGCCUACGCUCUGAAUACAUUAGCAUGGAAUAACACGAUAGGACUCUGGCUUAUCUUGUUGGUCUGUGAGACCAGAGUAAUGAUUAAGAGGGACAGUCGGGGGCAUUCGUAUUUCAUUGUCAGAGGUGAAAUUCUUGGAUUUAUGAAAGACGAACUUCUGCGAAAGCAUUCGUCAAGGAUGUUUUCAUUAA